GAUGAACGCUCGCUACAGGCUUAACACAUGCAAGUCGAGGGGAAACGACAUCGCAAGCUUGCUUUUGAUGGGCGUCGACCGGCGCACGGGUGAGUAACGCGUAUCCAACCUGCCCAUCACUUGGGAAUAACCUUGCGAAAGUAAGACUAAUACCCAAUGAUAUCCCACGAAGGCAUCGGAAUGGGAUUAAAGAUUUAUCGGUGAUGGAUGGGGAUGCGUCUGAUUAGCUUGUUGGCGGGGUAACGGCCCACCAAGGCAACGAUCAGUAGGGGUUCUGAGAGGAAGGUCCCCCAAAUUGGAACUGAGACACGGUCCAAACUACUACGGGAGGCAGCAGUGAGGAAUAUUGGUCAAUGGGCGAGAGCCUGAACCAGCCAAGUAGCGUGCAGGAAGACGGCCCUAUGGGUGGUAAACUGCUUUUAUAAGGGAAUAAAGUGGGUCACGUGUGACUUUUUGCAUGUACCUUAUGAAUAAGGACCGGCUAAUUCCGUG
rnacentral:rRNA from 1 species